rnacentral:rRNA from 1 species
AGAGUUUGAUCAUGGCUCAGAACGAACGCUGGCGGCGUGGAUCAGACAUGCAAGUCGAACGAGGUUAAUCUGGUAGCAAUAUUGGGUUAACCUAGUGGCGAACGGGUGCGUAACACGUGACCAACCUGCCUAGAAGUGGGGGAUAGCUCGCCGAAAGGCGAAUUAAUACCGCAUAUAAUCGUAAGAUUAAAGCAGCAAUGCGCUUUUAGAGGGGGUCGCGGCCUAUCAGCUAGUUGGUGAGGUAAAGGCUUACCAAGGCAGCGACGGGUAGCUGGUCUGAGAGGACGACCAGCCACACUGGAACUGAGACACGGUCCAGACACCUACGGGUGGCAGCAGUCGAGAAUUUUUCUCAAUGGGGGAAACCCUGAAGGAGCGACGCCGCGUGGAGGAUGAAGGCUUUCGGGUUGUAAACUCCUGUCAUCUGGGAACAAAACUCGCAAGAGCUUGAUAGUACCAGAAGAGGAAGAGACGGCUAACUCUGUGCCAGCAGCCGCGGUAAUACAGAGGUCUCAAGCGUUGUUCGGAUUCAUUGGGCGUAAAGGGCGCGUAGGCGGGGGGGUAAGUCUGGUGUGAAAUCUCGGAGCUCAACUCCGAAAUUGCACUGGAUACUGCUCUGCUAGAGGGCUGGAGAGGAGAUCGGAAUUCACGGUGUAGCAGUGAAAUGCGUAGAUAUCGUGAGGAAGACCAGUGGCGAAGGCGGAUCUCUGGACAGCUCCUGACGCUGAGGCGCGAAGGCUAGGGGAGCAAACGGGAUUAGAUACCCUAGUAGUCC